rnacentral:rRNA from 1 species
AGAGUUUGAUCCUGGCUCAGGACGAACGCUGGCGGCGCGCCUAACACAUGCAAGUCGAACGAGAGAGAAGGAGCUUGCUUCUUCGAUCGAGUGGCGAACGGGUGAGUAACGCGUGAGGAACCUGCCUCAAAGAGGGGGACAACAGUUGGAAACGACUGCUAAUACCGCAUAAGCCCACGGCUCGGCAUCGAGCAGAGGGAAAAGGAGCAAUCCGCUUUGAGAUGGCCUCGCGUCCGAUUAGCUAGUUGGUGAGGUAACGGCCCACCAAGGCGACGAUCGGUAGCCGGACUGAGAGGUUGAACGGCCACAUUGGGACUGAGACACGGCCCAGACUCCUACGGGAGGCAGCAGUGGGGAAUAUUGCACAAUGGGGGAAACCCUGAUGCAGCGACGCCGCGUGGAGGAAGAAGGUCUUCGGAUUGUAAACUCCUGUUGUUGAGGAAGAUAAUGACGGUACUCAACAAGGAAGUGACGGCUAACUACGUGCCAGCAGCCGCGGUAAAACGUAGGUCACAAGCGUUGUCCGGAAUUACUGGGUGUAAAGGGAGCGCAGGCGGGAAGACAAGUUGGAAGUGAAAUCUAUGGGCUCAACCCAUAAACUGCUUUCAAAACUGUUUUUCUUGAGUAGUGCAGAGGUAGGCGGAAUUCCCGGUGUAGCGGUGGAAUGCGUAGAUAUCGGGAGGAACACCAGUGGCGAAGGCGGCCUACUGGGCACCAACUGACGCUGAGGCUCGAAAGUGUGGGUAGCAAACAGGAUUAGAUACCCUGGUAGUCCACACCGUAAACGAUGAUUACUAGGUGUUGGAGGAUUGACCCCUUCAGUGCCGCAGUUAACACAAUAAGUAAUCCACCUGGGGAGUACGACCGCAAGGUUGAAACUCAAAGGAAUUGACGGGGGCC